GCUAAGUCACUUUAUCUCUCCAGCCAUUGAAAGCUUGGAUUAAAUCAUAGGCUUUAGAGCUAGGUUCCAUGGAGCUUUGGAGUUCUGUUAUACCUGUCACAGGAUAGGGACCAUUGAUAAAAGAGACUCUUAGCAGAUGAGAAUCUGGACAUCUGGGCUCGGAGAAGCUUUGAUUUUACCUGUUUUUAUACACUGAUUUAAGAGAGAUCAACAGCAGUGUAUUAGUCAUAUGUACUCACAGACCACGGGAGAGGGACACCAUGCCAACAGGGUCACAUGGAGCCUGUGCUCAGGAACAGAGUGGAUGACAAGGAUUGUGGGAGGCGAGAUACAGGGGUUAGAGCACAAAUUGUGCAGUGCCCCUUAGCAUUUGAUUUUUACUGAAAGAUGGGAACCCAGAAAAGGGAUGUGGGUAAAAGAAUGGCCUGCUAUUUGACCAACUUUUCUUUUCAUCUCUCGAAGAGCCUAGCAAAGUCUACAUGCUUGUUUUUUUGGUUACUGAGUAGUAUAGGUCCCACUUGGAUCAGCAAUUCUCAAAGUGAGAGGGUGGCAAUAGAAUACCACUACGUGGACAGAGUUACCAUGCAUGUGCUUAGGUAAGAUAAACUAAUAUUUAACAUAAAUUAGAAACCCUUACUAAUUGCUUUCAUGUGUUUUUUUUCUUACU
rnacentral:lncRNA from 1 species